UUGUGCCCUCAUCGAAGCUGAUCCCACUUUUCUCAGUAGCAUCAGUCAAAAGUGGGGCGAAAUCAAAUUUUACUCGACGGUCGCAAUGUUUAGUUGGUAAAACUGUUGAACACUGCAAUUCCAUGAGUAAGGACAAUA